rnacentral:tRNA from 2 species
UCUACGGAAGCUUAACUGGUCUAAGCAUUCGUCUGAUAAGCGAAAGACAGUUGGUUCGAGUCCAACCCGUAGGA